AAAUGAAUAGACGGGGGCCCGCACAAGCGGAGGAACAUGUGGUUUAAUUCGAUGAUACGCGAGGAACCUUACCCGGGAUAGAACGGCUGUUGAAUAUGCGUGAAAGCGUGUAGCCGCAAGGCAACAGUCGAGGUGCUGCAUGGUUGUCGUCAGCUCGUGCCGUGAGGUGUCGGGUUAAGUCCCAUAACGAGCGCAACCCCUGCCGAUAGUUGCCAUCAGAUAAAGCUGGGGACUCUAUCGGGACAGCCGGUGUAAACCGCGAGGAAGGCGGGGAUGACGUCAAAUCAGCACGGCCCUUACAUUCGGGGCUACACACGUGUUACAAUGGCAAAUACAGAGGGCAGCAAAACAGCGAUGUAGAGCGAAUCCUCAAAGUUUGUCUUAGUUCGGAUCGGAGUCUGUAACCCGACUCCGUGAAGCCGGAUUCGCUAGUAAUCGCGCAUCAGCCACGGCGCGGUGAAUACGUUCCCGGGCCUUGCACACACCGCCCGU
rnacentral:rRNA from 1 species